GAUGAACGCUGGCGGCGUGCCUAAUACACGCAAGUCGAGCGAACAGACGAGGAGCUUGCUCCUCUGACGUUAGCGGCGGACGGGUGAGUAACACGUGGAUAACCUACCUAUAAGACUGGGAUAACUUCGGGAAACCGGAGCUAAUACCGGAUAAUAUAUUGAACCGCAUGGUUCAAUAGUGAAAGACGGUUUUGCUGUCACUUAUAGAUGGAUCCGCGCCGCAUUAGCUAGUUGGUAAGGUAACGGCUUACCAAGGCAACGAUGCGUAGCCGACCUGAGAGGGUGAUCGGCCACACUGGAACUGAGACACGGUCCAGACUCCUACGGGAGGCAGCAGUAGGGAAUCUUCCGCAAUGGGCGAAAGCCUGACGGAGCAACGCCGCGUGAGUGAUGAAGGUCUUCGGAUCGUAAAACUCUGUUAUUAGGGAAGAACAAAUGUGUAAGUAACUAUGCACGUCUUGACGGUACCUAAUCAGAAAGCCACGGCUAACUAUGUG
rnacentral:rRNA from 1 species